rnacentral:rRNA from 1 species
UACGGAGGGAGCUAGCGUUGUUCGGAAAUACUGGGCGUAAAGCGCACGUAGGCGGCGCAGCAAGUCAGGGGUGAAAUCCCGGGGCUCAACCCCGGAACUGCCCUUGAAACUGCAGUGCUAGAAUUCUGGAGAGGCGAGUGGAAUUCCGAGUGUAGAGGUGAAAUUCGUAGAUAUUGGGAAGAACACCGGUGGCGAAGGCGGCUCACUGGCCAGUUUCUGACGCUGCAGCGCGAAAGCGUGGGGAUCAAACAGG